UUAUUUAGCAUCGAUGGUACUGUAAUGAUCGUAAAGCCAUUGAAUCUUGAAAGUGGUCAAGCGGGAUCGUAAAGCCAUUGAAUCUUGAAAGUAGUCGAGUGGGACCGUAAAACCAUUGAAUCUUGAAGUGGUCAAGUGGGACCGUAAAGCCAUUGAAUCUUGAAGUGGUCGAGUGGGACCGUACCAUUGAAUCUUGAAAGUGGUCGAGUGGGACCGUAAAGCCAUUGAAUAAUUGAAAGUGGUUGAGUGGGACCAUAAAACCAUUGAAUAUUUGAAAGUUGCUUGGUGGAGCCGUGAUUACCACCCAUGGCAAGUUAUGUCCUAAGGGCCGUGAUUCAUAUUUGUGAAUUGAGUUGGAAUAGUUGAAAUGACCGGAAGUGGUCUUGUGAUUAUGUAAUUGACUAAGUCAAUUGACCUUUGCUUUGAUUCGAUUGUUGUGAAUUGACUGAUUGAGUGGAAAUGACCGUGAGUGGUCUUGUUGGCGUGUAAUUGAUUAGGUCGAUUUGAUCGAUGCUUUGAUAUGUGAUGUGAUUGCUUGGGUGCCUAUUUGAUAUGUGCUAACAUGCAGGUGGAAUCUAAGGCCAAAGUAAAUCCUCUUACUCAUGUUGUGUUUAGGCAGCCCUAAGGUGUAUUAGCUUACUAAUCGGAUCUUAGGGAGUAGAACUUACUAAGACAUAGUCUCAUCCUGGUUUGGAGAAAUCAUUUUAGGACCCUAAUGAAGAACCUGAGGAGAAAGAACUCGAAGAGGAGUAUUUGAAGGAGAACGCUGAGGAUGAUCCAUAAUAGAAUCCUGAUGACUGUUGUUGUAGAAUCUAUUGAGUAGAAACCAACCUUUUUAGCAUGGUUUGUAUAUGUACAUGUAUGACUUAGUCAUUAUAGAUGUACAUAAGGGUGUUGGUUUUUAGGUUCAAUUUUCUAGUCCUACUUUAUAUCCUAUUGCUUU
rnacentral:lncRNA from 1 species